rnacentral:rRNA from 1 species
AGAGUUUGAUCAUGGCUCAGGAUGAACGCUAGCUACAGGCUUAACACAUGCAAGUCGAGGGGCAGCAUGUUGGUUGCUUGCAACCAAUGAUGGCGACCGGCGCACGGGUGAGUAACGCGUAUCCAACCUACCCUUGUCCAUCGGAUAACCCGUCGAAAGGCGGCCUAACACGAUAUGCGGUUCACAGCAGGCAUCUAAGGUGAACGAAAUGUGAAGGAGAAGGAUGGGGAUGCGUCUGAUUAGCUUGUUGGCGGGUAACGCCACAAGGCUACGAUCAGUAGGGUUCUGAGAGGAAGGUCCCCCANAUUGGAACUGAGACACGGUCCAAACUCCUACGGAGCA